rnacentral:misc_RNA from 1 species
GAUGAAGAACGUAGCGAAAUGCGAUAAGUAAUGUGAAUUGCAGAAUUCAGUGAAUCAUCGAAUCUUUGAACGCACCUUGCACCCUUUGGCAUUCUGAAGGGUAUGCUCGUUUGAGUGUCAUUGUACUCUCACACUCCCGAUCUUUGCAUUGGGAGCAGUGGACUUGGGUUUGCUGCUUCACCGUCGCUUACCUCAAAUAGGUUAGUGCAACUCUUGGUUGGACAUAGUACGGCGUGAUAAGUGUUCUUCGCCGGUGCCUCGCAAAGAGGGUGGCCGAUCGGGAUGUUGUGCUCCAAACCGUCUUCGGACAAUCUUUGACAACUUGACCUCAAAUCGAGUAGGACUACCCGCUGAACUUAAGCAUAUCAAUAAGCGGAGGA